rnacentral:rRNA from 1 species
UACGUAGGGUCCGAGCGUUGUCCGGAAUUACUGGGCGUAAAGAGCUCGUAGGUGGUUUGUCGCGUUGUCCGUGAAAACUCACAGCUCAACUGUGGGCGUGCGGGCGAUACGGGCAGACUGGAGUACUGCAGGGGAGACUGGAAUUCCUGGUGUAGCGGUGGAAUGCGCAGAUAUCAGGAGGAACACCGGCGGCGAAGGCGGCUCUCUAGUACGGUACUGACGCUGAGACGCGAAAGCGUGGGGAGCGAACAGG